rnacentral:rRNA from 1 species
ACGCUGGCGGCAGGCCUAACACAUGCAAGUCGAGCGGUAGAGAGAAGCUUGCUUCUCUUGAGAGCGGCGGACGGGUGAGUAAUGCCUAGGAAUCUGCCUGGUAGUGGGGGAUAACGUUCGGAAACGGACGCUAAUACCGCAUACGUCCUACGGGAGAAAGCAGGGGACCUUCGGGCCUUGCGCUAUCAGAUGAGCCUAGGUCGGAUUAGCUAGUUGGUGGGGUAAUGGCUCACCAAGGCGACGAUCCGUAACUGGUCUGAGAGGAUGAUCAGUCACACUGGAACUGAGACACGGUCCAGACUCCUACGGGAGGCAGCAGUGGGGAAUAUUGGACAAUGGGCGAAAGCCUGAUCCAGCCAUGCCGCGUGUGUGAAGAAGGUCUUCGGAUUGUAAAGCACUUUAAGUUGGGAGGAAGGCCAGUUGCCUAAUACGUAACUGUUUUGACGUUACCGACAGAAUAAGCACCGGCUAACUCUGUGCCAGCAGCCGCGGUAAUACAGAGGGUGCAAGCGUUAAUCGGAAUUACUGGGCGUAAAGCGCGCGUAGGUGGUUUGGUAAGUUGGAUGUGAAAUCCCCGGGCUCAACCUGGGAACUGCAUUCAAAACUGACUGACUAGAGUAUGGUAGAGGGUGGUGGAAUUUCCUGUGUAGCGGUGAAAUGCGUAGAUAUAGGAAGGAACACCAGUGGCGAAGGCGACCACCUGGACUGAUACUGACACUGAGGUGCGAAAGCGUGGGGAGCAAAC